rnacentral:rRNA from 1 species
UAAACGACUCUCGGCAACGGAUAUCUCGGCUCACGCAUCGAUGAAGAACGUAGCAAAAUGCGAUACUUGGUGUGAAUUGCAGAAUCCCGUGAACCAUCGAGUUUUUGAACGCAAGUUGCGCCCUAAGCCAUUCGGCCGAGGGCACGUCUGCCUGGGCGUCACGC